AUUGAACGCUGGCGGCAUGCCUUACACAUGCAAGUCGAACGGUAGCGGGCCUUCGGGUGCCGACGAGUGGCGAACGGGUGAGUAAUGUAUCGGAACGUACCUUUCAGUGGGGGAUAACGUAGCGAAAGUUGCGCUAAUACCGCAUAUUCUGUGAGCAGGAAAGCAGGGGAUCGCAAGACCUUGCGCUGAUUGAGCGGCCGAUAUCAGAUUAGCUAGUUGGUGAGGUAAAGGCUCACCAAGGCGACGAUCUGUAGCGGGUCUGAGAGGAUGAUCCGCCACACUGGAACUGAGACACGGGCCAGACUCCUACGGGAGGCAGCAGUGGGGAAUUAUGGACAAUGGGGGCAACCCUGAUCCAGCCAUGCCGCGUGAGUGAAGAAGGCCUUCGGGUUGUAAAGCUCCUUCGGCCGGGAAGAAAUCGUAUCAGCUAAUACCUGGUGCGGAUGACGGUACCGGCAUAAGAAGCACCGGCUAACUACGAGCCAGCCGCCGCAGUAAAAC
rnacentral:rRNA from 1 species